rnacentral:tRNA from 1 species
GGAAACUUGGUGAAACACAACGCGGCUGACUUUUAAUCAGUAGGUCCCGGGUUCGAGCCCCGGCGCUCUCA